rnacentral:misc_RNA from 1 species
GAAAUCUUCUGUGAUGAAGUGCCAAGAACAGCAGAGAAUUUCUUGGCGUUAUGCUCAAGUGAUUAUUAUGAUGGGACCAUAUUCCAUAGAAACAUAAAGGGUUUCAUGAUCCAAGGUGGUGAUCCAACUGGUACUGGGAAAGGUGGGACAAGUAUUUGGGGAAAAAAGUUCAAUGACGAGAUAAGGGAGUCUCUCAAGCACAAUGCAAGAGGGAUGUUGGCAAUGGCCAACAGUGGCCCUAAUACCAAUGGGAGUCAGUUUUUCAUUACAUAUGCCAAGCAACCACAUCUCAAUGGAUUGUACACCAUCUUCGGGAAAGUGAUACAUGGAUUUGAGGUUCUUGAUCUCAUGGAAAAGACUCCAACAGGACCAGGUGAUAAACCCCUUGCCGAGAUCAGGCUCAACCGGGUGACCAUUCAUGCUAAUCCACUUGCUGGCUGACAUACUUUUGAAGCAUGCCAAAGCAGUAUGUGUAAUCUCAUUGUUCGAGUUGUUGAUCCUGGUGAGUUCUUUGGACUAUUGCUAUGGUCAACCUUCAUUUCCAACCAACUUACCGGUAGAUAGAAAGUAGUUAAUGCGGGAUGAUGACAGUAAU